GAUGAACGCUGGCGGCGUGCCUAAUACAUGCAAGUCGAGCGAACGGACGAGAAGCUUGCUUCUCUGAUGUUAGCGGCGGACGGGUGAGUAACACGUGGAUAACCUACCUAUAAGACUGGGAUAACUUCGGGAAACCGGAGCUAAUACCGGAUAAUAUUUUGAACCGCAUGGUUCAAAAGUGAAAGACGGUCUUGCUGUCGCUUAUAGAUGGAUCCGCGCUGCAUUAGCUUGUUGGUAAGGUAACGGCUUACCAAGGCAACGAGGCUUAGCCGCCCUGAAGGGGUCGUCGGCCACACUGGAACUGAGACACGGCCCAGACUCCUACGGUAGGCAGCAGUAGGGAAUCUUCCGCAAUGGGCGAAAGCCUGACGGAGCAACGCCGCGUGAGUGAUGAAGGUCUUCGGAUCGUAAAACUCUGUUAUUAGGGAAGAACAUAUGUUUAAGUAACUGUGCACAUCUUGACGGUACCUAAUCAGAAAGCCACGGCUAACUACGUG
rnacentral:rRNA from 1 species